UGCAGGAGAUGGUAUGAGAAAUUGCAGUGAGGUAUUCAAAGAAUAUUCAGCAUGCUGUCAGUCAAAGUACUUUUGGGUAGUAACUCCAUUUAUUUCUAGUUUCCAGAUUUCUUCUAUGUUGUUGACUCAAGGGAGCAACCUCUCUGGCAUUGAAAAGCGCAUUCAGCAAAAAGAAAAGGAUCUGCCCUUCCCUCCUCAGAAGCUAACACAACUUGCCAGCCCUGGAACAGGAGAAAGUGUCCCUGGAUGCUCCAGUGGGCUACAAAUCCAAGGCAUCUCCUGGAGUUCCCCAGGGCUUCUCAUAACCCUGGUGUACCUGCAAUAUCUGAGCAGCACUGGUGGAGGAGGCUGCAUGGAUGCUUUCCUAAUUCACAGCAGAAUCACAGGGUAGAAGUAGCCAGGAGUGCGAAAUAUGAAAAAUUAAAAGGACAUCAAGAUCUACUGUGGAGAAGUAUGCUUUCUUACCUUCCCAUGACAAGAAGGAGCGGAAAAUAAAGCUGAGCCUGAAACAUUCA
rnacentral:lncRNA from 1 species